rnacentral:misc_RNA from 1 species
CUGUUCGAGCGUCAUUUAAACCAAUCCAGCUUGCUGGGUGUUGGGCCUUCGCCUCUAGGCGGGCCUCAAAAUCAGUGGCGGUGCUGCCAGGCUCUAAGCGUAGUAAUUCUUCUCGCUACAGGUCCUGGUGGAGGCUUGCCAACAACCCCAAAUUUUCAAAGGUUGACCUCGGAUCAGGUAGGGAUACCCGCUGAACUUAG